CGGCACCCUCUCCUCUCUCUCUGUCUCAACUAUCUCUCUCGGUCCCUCUCUCUCUCGGCUCUCUCAGUCGCAGCGGCGUGCGGCGGCGGGAGGAGAGGCGGCAGCGAUGGGUAGCGCCGUCCCCUCCUCCAGAUCCGGUGGGAGGGGAGGCAGCAGCAGCGAUGUGUGGUGGCGGGAGGGAGGCGACAUCAGCGAUGGGCGGCGAUGGGAGGGGAGGCAGCAGCGGCGGGUGGCGUCCUCCCCUCUGCCAGAUCUAGCAGGAGGGAAGGCGGCUGCAGCGACGUGCGGUGGUGGGCGGUGGUAGGAAGGAAGGCGACAGCGGCGGGCGGCGUGCUAUUCUUCUGCAGUUCCAUCCUUGGCGAGGGGAGGUGGUAACGGCGGUGCUCGACGUACUGCUCGUCUGCAGCUCUAUCCUCUCCAGAGGCCGUCGUCCAUCUUUUUUGUGUUUGUAUUAGUGUUGAUUCUGGUGAUGCUCUGGGAUGUUUUUGAGUUCUUGGAUGCCGAUUAAUUUGAUGAAUUAAAUGAUGGGUGAAAUCGGGUGAAGGGGAGUUGCUCGAU
rnacentral:sRNA from 1 species